CGUAUUAUUGUUGGUAUGUGGACACCUCUGACGCAGCAAGAUGCGUAUUUUGUGUGCAGGUAGACCAGGCUUUAUGCUGAAGGACCUCUUGUUACAGUGACUCACACGUACCUGUUUUAUACUGCGAUUAACACUCAUGAACCCGUGCGGUCGAGCUCACAGCUGCUAGUGCACGUCUGACCCAAGCUGCUAGUGCACGUCUGACCCAAGCUGCUAGUGCGCGUCUGACCCAAGCUGCUAGUGCGUGUCUGACCCAAGCUGCUACACAACGGCCAGAGAGUGAGUUUGGUUAACAGAACCAGCAGCACACGGUGCUGAGUGCUUCCCCUCCACUGGGCAGAGUUGAAUUGGUGAUGGUGCUUCCUUUGCUCCCCUCCAUCCAGAGUUAAGCAGUCGCUCAGCGCCUCAUCUCGUCAGCCGCAGCACUUCCUCAGAUUCUGCCGCCAGCACCUCCAGUGACUCCAGUUCAGAAAACAGCGACUCCUGACGGCUGUAAUAUUUAUAUUUAUAUUUAUUUCUUUGUUUAUUAUCAAAAGAGAGCUCUGCGAAACUGUCGAACAUGCCUAUUUUCCAAAUGUUUAAAUAUUUAGGUAUGGGAAUUUGAUUGUACUCUGCCUUUCUCACUCAUUCCUUGUACAUCGUAAUAUCCGGCAAUGGUAUUUCUUAUCAGCGGUUAUAAAUUGAAUGGGGCAUAUUUCAUAACAUGGGAGUUUAAUAUCCUGUUUCUGUCACUCAUUUUGCCCGCGCUCUUUAAUUACAAGACGGGCCCUUUUCAAAACACGCCAUUGAAAUGAAGUAAUAUUCUUCUCAACAUCAUUUUUUGCAGCAGACCACUUUCUAUAGUAGCUCAUGAAGGAUGUUGUGUAAGAAACAACCUCAAGCACGUUGCACAGUUAUGAGGGCUGCUGUGCUGUCUGAGACCUUCAUGGUGACCAUAUAGUCAUGUAGUCUAAACCUGUACUCCGUAUCAGGUGUGGAGGAAGCAUUAUCUAUGUUUUGCUGUUCAGCACUAAAUGCAUGUGCCAAUUUUAUUUUCUACCUUUUUAAAAUAUUUUGUUUAUUUUCUUUGACUUCCACUUUUUUUGGUUGUCAUCCGCGAUAUAAAAUACUGCUCGUACACACUGCUAGUGUCGAGCCGUCCGUCAAGCAGUAAUCACCUCUGUUGAAUGUUUGGGGCAUAAUGCAGAGCUGUAAGUGUGUUUCCCCCCCCAGGCUUCCUAACAUGGUAUGGAAGUCAACUUGAGUUCAUUGAUGUAAACAUCAUGCCUGCUGUUCUUCACGCCCCCCCCUACCCCCCCUUCCCUGUUGCACGCCGUUUCAUUGCUGCUUUUUCAAACCUGUUAAAACGCUAACAACCUACUUUGUGUUUAAGUCUCUAGAUAUCCAAAAUGCCAUCUUUAUAUUAACGCUUUAUAUGCUCUUGUUUCCAACUAUGUUUUUUUUUUACUAUUUGGUUGCUAAUAAU
ensembl:lncRNA